rnacentral:rRNA from 1 species
GACGAACGCUGGCGGCGUGCCUAACACAUGCAAGUCGAGCGAAUGAAGUUCCUUCGGGAAUGGAUUUAGCGGCGGACGGGUGUGUAACACGUGGGCAACCUGCCUCAUAGAGGGGAAUAGCCUUCCGAACGGGAGAUUAAUACCGCAUAAGAUUGUAGUACCGCAUGAUACAGCAAUUAAAGGAGCAAUCCGGUAUGAGAUGGGCCCGCGGCGCAUUAGCUAGUUGGUGGGGUAACGGCUCACCAAGGCGACGAUGCGUAGCCGACCUGAGAGGGUGAUCGGCCACAUUGGGACUGAGACACGGCCCAGACUCCUACGGGAGGCAGCAGUGGGGAAUAUUGCACAAUGGGGGAAACCCUGAUGCAGCAACGCUGCGUGAGUGAUGACGGCCUUCGGGUUGUAAAGCUCUGUCUUCAGGGACGAUAAUGACGGUACCUGAGGAGGAAGCCACGGCUAACUACGUGCCAGCCGCCGCCGUAAUAC